rnacentral:rRNA from 1 species
AAUCAACGCUGGCGGCGUGCCUAACACAUGCAAGUCGAGCGCGAAAGCGGGGCAACCCGCAAGUAGAGCGGCGAACGGGUGAGUAACGCGUGGGUGAUCUACCUCCGAGUGGGGAACAACAUCGGGAAACUGGUGCUAAUACCGCAUGACAUCCUCAGGUCACACUGAGGAUCAAAGCCGGGGACCGUAAGGCCUGGCGCUUGGAGAGGAGCCCGCGUCCGAUAGCUAGUUGGCGGGGUAACGGCCCACCAAGGCGACGAUCGGUAGCCGGCCUGAGAGGGCGGACGGCCACACUGGGACUGCGACACGGCCCAGACUCCUACGGGAGGCAGCAGUGGGGAAUUUUGGACAAUGGGCGCAAGCCUGAUCCAGCCAUGCCGCGUGUGUGAAGAAGG